rnacentral:lncRNA from 1 species
GCAGCUCGAGCUGGGCUCUGUUUCUUACCAGGGUUGUUCCACAUGUGUUCAUUCCAGAUCCCAGAUUCUACAGAGCAGCAGCUUCCUCAGGAAGAGUGGCCGUUCUUUUCACGAUAAUGAAAGUGUAAGAAGUACCUCCACAUGCCACACAAGUGGACAGGGAAGCCUGCUGGUGUGGCCCAUGGAUGCCAGUCUUCCAGAGCCCGGAGAAGAGUGGAGAAGGGCCAGAAGUGGAAUCGGAGGAGUAAAUAGCCCAUGUGAGGCUUCUGAUAGAUCUGCCUAGUUUAUAAAACUGCAUACUGGUAAGUCUGAAAACUGGCUACGACUCUGGAGAACAGUAUUGCUUUCUUAUAAAAUUAAGCAUAUGCUUGUCAUGUGACCUAGGGAUCCACUCUUAAUAUUUUAUCCUAGAGUAAGGAAAGCUUAGGUAAAUGAUAAGUGAAGUCGCUCAGUCAUGUCUGACUCUUUGUGACCCCAUGGACUGUAGCCUACCAGGCUCCUUCCUCCAUUGGAUUCUCCA